rnacentral:misc_RNA from 1 species
AAAAAAAAAAAAAAAAAAGUGUCUUCACAGUGAUUUAUGCAUCAGCAUAUAAUUAAGUAGUAACAUUAAAUGUUAAGAAUGCUGCAAGAGGCGAGAUUCUUUAUGAUUAAGCACACUGCAAGUUUCUAAACAUGGAAGGAUAUUUCGUAGCCUUGUAUUGUGUCUGAAGGUUCUUUAUUUUUUGAACCUAUUUUGCUGGCAGAAAUGCAAGCCACCUCUUUAUCAUUAUUAUUAUUAUUAUU